CCCUUAGAUGUUCUGGGCUGCACGCGCGCUACACUGAUGCACUCAACGAGUUUACGACCUUGCCCGAUAGGGUUGGGUAAUCUUUUUAAAAUGCAUCGUGAUGGGGAUAGAUUAUUGCAAUUAUUAAUCUUCAACGAGGAGUUCCUAGUAAGCGCGAGUCAUCAGCUCGUGCUGAUUACGUCCCUGCCCUUUGUACACACCGCCCGUCGCUCCUACCGAUUGAGUGCUCAGGUGAAUAAUUCGGACUGCAGCAAUGUUUGGAUCCCGAACGUUGCAGCGGAAAGUUUAGUGAACCUUAUCACUUAGAGGAAGGAGAAGUCGUAACA
rnacentral:rRNA from 1 species